AGACUUUGAUCCUGGCUCAGAUUGAACGCUGGCGGAAUGCUUUACACAUGCAAGUCGAGCGGCAGCGCGGGGGCAACCCUGGCGGCGAGCGGCGAACGGGUGAGUAACACAUCGGAACGUACCCAGUCGUGGGGGAUAACACAUCGAAAGAUGUGCUAAUACCGCAUACGACCUGAGGGUGAAAGGGGGGGAUCGCAAGACCUCUCGCGAUUGGAGCGGCCGAUGUCGGAUUAGCUAGUUGGUGAGGUAAAGGCUCACCAAGGCGACGAUCCGUAGCUGGUCUGAGAGGAUGAUCAGCCACACUGGAACUGAGACACGGUCCAGACUCCUACGGGAGGCAGCAGUGGGGAAUUUUGGACAAUGGGGGCAACCCUGAUCCAGCCAUUCCGCGUGAGUGAAGAAGGCCUUCGGGUUGUAAAGCUCUUUCGGCAGGAACGAAACGGCGGGCUCUAACAUAGCCUGUCAAUGACGGUACCUGAAGAAGAAGCACCGGCUAACUACAUGCCAACAGCC
rnacentral:rRNA from 1 species